rnacentral:tRNA from 1 species
GGUGGGGUUCCCGAGCGGCCAAAGGGAGCAGACUGUAAAUCUGCCGUCCAUCGACUUCGAAGGUUCGAAUCCUUCCCCCACCACCA